UGAAGGCGUCACAGCAUUUUGAGCCCAGCCACAGAAUAGUCGUUGAGGCUGAAACUGAGUUAAAGGUCUGCUGGAGAGGUGUGCCGGCAUGGGAAGGGGAUGGAUAUGGACAUAAUACUGGAAAAGGGCAUCCUUUUCAGCCUUGCAAAGGCAACCUCUUGACCAACUUGACCAAGCCCACAAGGACAUGAAGCCCUACUUGCUUUGGCAGAGUCCUGAUAGUAUGCGAGCACGGAACGAAGAUUUCAGAAGAAAAACUGCUAUUUGGGAGGACAGUCGUAUGCUUGCUGAUAUUACAGGCUGCAAUUGCUGGUGGUAAAAGCAUGAAAUUAUUCGAAAACAAAAUCCACCAUCCCGUAAGUGGUAUAGAAAACAUGGGAAGCCUCUUCAACUUCAUUAUGCAAGCGUAUGAGACGGCUGACUUUACAUACAACCAAACGUUGACAACGAAGGUUGUGGCAUCGACAAAUGAAGACAACAUGACCUAUGUGACCUCGGAGCAAGUGAAAGAGAUUGCUAUUGCGUUACGGAAUAUCACUGUACGGCAUGAAAAUCAGGUCAAACAGGCAUCUUCGAAUACCA